GGGGAUCUGCCCGAUAGAGGGGGAUAACCACUGGAAACGGUGGCUAAUACCGCAUAACGUCGCAAGACCAAAGAGGGGGACCUUCGGGCCUCUCACUAUCGGAUGAACCCAGAUGGGAUUAGCUAGUAGGCGGGGUAAUGGCCCACCUAGGCGACGAUCCCUAGCUGGUCUGAGAGGAUGACCAGCCACACUGGAACUGAGACACGGUCCAGACUCCUACGGGAGGCAGCAGUGGGGAAUAUUGCACAAUGGGCACAAGCCUGAUGCAGCCAUGCCGCGUGUAUGAAGAAGGCCUUCGGGUUGUAAAGUACUUUCAGCGGGGAGGAAGGCGAUGCGGUUAAUAACCGCGUCGAUUGACGUUACCCGCAGAAGAAGCACCGGCUAACUCCGUGCCAGCAGCCGCGGUAAUACGGAGGGUGCAAGCGUUAAUCGGAAUUACUGGGCGUAAAGCGCACGCAGGCGGUCUGUUAAGUCAGAUGUGAAAUCCCCGGGCUUAACCUGGGAACUGCAUUUGAAACUGGCAGGCUUGAGUCUUGUAGAGGGGGGUAGAAUUCCAGGU
rnacentral:rRNA from 1 species